rnacentral:rRNA from 2 species
UUUCCGUAGGUGAACCUGCGGAAGGAUCAUUAUCGAGUUUUGACCGGGUUGUAGCUGGCCUUCCGAGGCAUGUGCACGCCCUGCUCAUCCACUCUACACCUGUGCACUUACUGUGGGCUUCAGAUUGCGAGGCACGCUCUUUACCGGGCUUGCGGAGCAUAUCUGUGCCUGCGUUUAUCACAAACUCUAUAAAGUAACAGAAUGUGUAUUGCGAUGUAACACAUUUAUAUACAACUUUCAGCAACGGAUCUCUUGGCUCUCGCAUCGAUGAAGAACGCAGCGAAAUGCGAUAAGUAAUGUGAAUUGCAGAAUUCAGUGAAUCAUCGAAUCUUUGAACGCACCUUGCGCUCCUUGGUAUUCCGAGGAGCAUGCCUGUUUGAGUGUCAUGAAAUCUUCAACCUACAAGCUUUUGUGGUUUGUAGGCUUGGACUUGGAGGCUUGUCGGCCGUUAUCGGUCGGCUCCUCUUAAAUGCAUUAGCUUGGUUCCUUGUGGAUCGGCUCUCGGUGUGAUAAUGUCUACGCCGCGACCGUGAAGCGUUUGGCGAGCUUCUAACCGUCUUAUAAGACAGCUUUAUGACCUCUGACCUCAAAUCAGGUAGGACUACCCGCUGAACUUAA